GACGUAGGGCGCGAGCGUUGUCCGGAUUUAUUGGGCGUAAAGAGCUCGUAGGCGGCUUGUCGCGUCGACUGUGAAAACCCGCGGCUCAACUGCGGGCCUGCAGCCGAUACGGGCAGGCUAGAGUUCGGCAGGGGAGACUGGAAUUCCUGGUGUAGCGGUGAAAUGCGCAGAUAUCAGGAGGAACACCAAUGGCGAAGGCAGAUCUCUGGGCCGUAACUGACGCUGGAGGAGCGAAAGCAUGGGGAGCGAACAGG
rnacentral:rRNA from 1 species